GGGCUGGUUACUUUAUGUCUGUUGACUGAGGAUGUUUGGCAUAGGUCCUAGUUGAGGGACUGGGGUGCUGGGGCUCGGUGGUAGCGCACUUGCCUGACACGUGUGAGGCACUGGGUUCGAUUCUUGGCACCACAUAUAAAAAUAAAUAAAAUAAAGGUCUAUCAACAACUAAAAAAAUAAUAAAAACAAACAAACAAAAAAAAACAGGUCCUGGUUGAAUAUGAGGUCCUCAUUGCACCUCAGUGGUAACCUGCCCAAAGCCUGGGACUGAGAGCCUUAGAUAGGCCUAAAGACUUUACCCACCAUUAGUGACCAUGCCUACCUUAAAUUAGGCCACUUAAAACCCCCAGACCCCUUUCUGGGCUAGUAGCUCAACACUUAUUCAUCCAUUUACCCACUUUUGAGGCCUUUCCCUUAACUCAUCAUAUUUUAGGGACAAAAGGUUGUUUUUUUUUUUCUCUAAUAUUUAUCAGUUAUUGAUGGACCUUUAUUCAUUUAUUUGUUUAUAUGUGAUGGUGAGAAUCUAACCCAGUGCCCCACACAUACUAGGCAAGUGCUCUACCACUGAGCCACAACCCCAGCCGACUGAAGGUUUUGAUAUGAGCACAAGAGGGAGAGGUGAAUCAGAUUGGAGAAGGUGGCAGGAUUUCCAAUGGUAUCUAAAGAAGACUGGAUUUGUGCAAAGGUGAUGGGGAAAUCUCUUAGAUCUAUAGUUCCUUAUCUUAGGGCCUCCCUGGAUAUCUUGAGACUGCCCUCUGGACUGAGACCAAACCCCUCUACCUAGUGAGGACAAAGUGCUGACCUAUCCUAGCACCCGGUGCUGACUCCAGCAGCUAACUUUCUGAGGUAUAGUUGGCUGGUCUUAUCCUUUCCACCCUGAUUUGGGAGCUGCACAAGGGCAGUCCUUAUGUCCUUUAUGGCCAGUGUUGGCCUGGGGGUUGGGGAGCAAGCACAGAAGACUAAACUAAGAGCUUCAGAUGAGAGAUUCAUGGCAUGGAGAGGAGGAACUUGUUUAAAUUGAGUUUCCGCCAAGCCUCCUGUUUCCCCCUGGAGUGAAACAAGGGGCUGGGUUGGACUAAACUAUACCAUCCUAUGGCUUUGAGGACACAGAACCUUCAACAGUGGGACCUCAGGACCAGGCCUGUGGCAGCU
rnacentral:lncRNA from 1 species